UACAGAGGUCCCAAGCGUUGUUCGGAUUCACUGGGCGUAAAGGGUGCGUAGGCGGUCGGGUAAGUCUGAUGUGAAAUCUCACAGCUUAACUGUGAAACUGCAUUGGAUACUAUCUGGCUGGAGGGUCGGAGGGGGGACUGGAAUUCUCGGUGUAGCAGUGAAAUGCGUAGAUAUCGAGAGGAACACCAGUGGCGAAGGCGAGUCCCUGGACGACUCCUGACACUGAGGCACGAAAGCUAGGGGAGCAAACAGG
rnacentral:rRNA from 1 species